AUGAAAGUCAUUGGUUGGAACUGUCGGAGACUAGGGAACGGCCCGGCAGUUCGUAGCCUCCUCGAUCUGGGGAGGUCGGAGGAUCCCAAUGUGUUGUUCUUAGCAGAAACAAAACUCUCGGAGAAAGAACUUGAGCGGUUUAGAUGGAUGCUAGGACUUGCACAUAUGAGUGCGUGGAACUCAGAAGGGAGGAGCAGGGGUGUGGCGUUAUUUUGGAAAAGGGAAGUUAAUGUCACCUUGAGAACGUAUGGCAGGAGACACAUUAAUGUUGAUAUUACGAAGGAAGAUGGGAAGGUGUGGAGGCUGACAGGAAUGUAUGGUGAGUCGGUCACGGAACGCAAAAAAGAAAAUGGAGAAAUCUGA
rnacentral:rRNA from 1 species